UCAUGUUGGCAACUUAACGUCAGUCGUGGUUCUGCACCACGGGAACUGCGUCUGAUACAAAGACCUACCAACAUUACCAACACUAGCGACUGUAUUAUUUUAAGAGUUACUGAUAUAAGGGGCCAUGUUGGAGACUUAAUUGCCAGCUCCUCCAGUGAAAGGCUGAAUUGCUUCACGGGGAAGGAAGGAAAGCACCGCAUACCAAGUACCUAACACUUAUUUCUACCUGGGAGGCAUGGCAGGAUGCUGGCUGCUCAGGAGACUAGCCUGGAGUCUAGAGCAGCUCCAGACAAAACGAUUACAAAUACGCAGCUAAAAUACAGAUGUGUGAGUUACUUA